rnacentral:rRNA from 1 species
GACGGGGGGGGCAAGCGUUGUCCGGAAUCAUUGGGCGUAAAGAGCGUGUAGGCGGCCCGGUAAGUCCGCUGUGAAAGUCCAGGGCUCAACCCUGGGAUGCCGGUGGAAACCGUCUGGCUAGAGUCCGGAAGAGGAGAGUGGAAUUCCCGGUGUAGCGGUGAAAUGCGCAGAUAUCGGGAAGAACACCCGUGGCGAAGGCGGCUCUCUGGGACGGUACUGACGCUGAGACGCGAAAGCGUGGGGAGCGAACAGG